rnacentral:lncRNA from 1 species
GAGGGUAUCUGGCGGAAGUAACAGAUGGAGCAGAAUUUCAGCUGGUUGAUUCAGUAAUAACAGGUAUGCUCUUAUUCAAUAAUAUAGGGUGAUUGCAUGAAUAUUGGGAAAUAUUGUCCCGAGUAGAAUUUUAUAUUGCACGAGCUUGCGAGUCCAAUAUAUGUUCUACGAGGGGCAAUAUUCCCCAAUAUUCAUGCAAUAACCCUUUUAUUGUAUAGCAAUAUAAUAUUUUAAAGUAAAAAUUGGUUUAAACUAAGAUUUUGUCGUUGAUGACGUCAUGAAUUUUUGAAGAUUUAUUGCACUAGUGCAAUAUUAGAAUUUAUUGCACGCUAACUUUUGGUUACUUUCUGUGGGAAAUAUUAUAUUGCUAUACAAUAAUAACAGAUAUGCUCUUAUGCAAUAAUAAGGGUAUGCUCUUAUUGAAAAUAUAUUUUAUGAUUUAGUCAUUUCACCAGAUUUACAUCUUGGACGAUUUUUAAACAACUUUCAGAUAUAUGAACAUUAACAUAAUCUGGUUCAGAAAUCUAUUUGUUUACAGAUAUUUUAAUUUUAUCGGCAAAUCCAAGUACGGUCUCGUUUGCAGUCAAUCCAGUACUGUUUUGUCAAUUUUAAACAUUUCGAUAUUUAGUCAUACAUCGGUAAAUAAAUGUACCAGUCUCUUCACCACGAGGUUUGUUGUUUAUGUGUUGAAAAGGAGAAGAAAAAUUCAAAAAGAUAAUUCCCUAAUCAAAUGGCAAAACAAAAUCUCAAACACAUCAAACGAAUGGUUAACAAUUGUUAUAUUCCUGACUUGGUACAUGCAUUUUCUUAUGUAGAAAAUGCUGGAUUAAACCUGGUUUUAUAGCUAGCUAAGCCUCUCAUUUGUAUGACAGUCGCAUAAAAUUCCAUUAUAUUUACAACGAUGCGUGAACAAAACAAACAUACACAAUAGGUAACAUUGUCAAAAAUAUGAUACAGCAGUCAACACUGUGUUAUCAUCUUCAUCACUAUUAAAACAAACAAAUGUAACAAGAAAGUACAAAAAGGUAUACAUCAAAUUUAACAACCUCAUUUUGUUUUCUUAUCAUACGAUUUUGUUUAUCUAUGUAAAAUCCACCCAUAAAGAACUGAAAGAUUUUAAGAACAUGGACCAAAUUCUUACCCUGACAGACACAUGGUUAGAUUAACAUUAACUCUGACGUAGAAUCGCGCGCGUGAUGUAACACAGGUAGAUAUAAAAUAGUUUUGCGAAGAAUAACGGGAUGCAGAAGUACAGAGUCACGUGAAAUGCAUAAACUAACUUAACUGUAAAACAUUUAUUAAUAAAGACAAAUAAAAGAAUACUAUAACACGUUAUCAAGAUGAAUGACAACGUCAGUACGGAGAAUCUAUUCUUCAAGAACAAACGUGUAUUAUGUGUGAAGUUGAUACGGAAUAUUUAUCAACAAGGUCAUGGUACCGUCCGAUGAAUUUUAAAAAAGGAACUUGACGUUGUUUGACAUACCCCUGGUUCGUCAACUUUCUGCUCAGACAAGUGUGACGUUUUACAAAGUGUGAGUAGGAGCUAAUUUGUCACAAGUUGGGAAAUGUAUAUUCCUUAUGCAGGUGAUGUUGGUACGUUGCAACUUAGGUGGGGGAAAUUGAUAAUUUCAAAAUUAAAAUCGUCUCGUUUGCUAUAGAUUCUGGCACUGAGAUCACUGUGUAUUGAAAAUUCUAGGUAUAAGUCUGAAAAUGAUGUGGAGGAAGUCGUGUCUGUUGUUUCUUCAAUUUCUAGUUCCGAGUGAUAUACUAAUAAUGGAACCCGAGACAAUAAAAACGAUAAAAACUAUAAAAACUGUAGAAAUAACCCUAUUGUACCGGUUAUUUAGAUACAUGUACACAAACCUAUAUGACUUUGAACGCAUCUGAUUCUUUCCCUAUUCAAGUGAGGCUGUUGAAACUACAGUGAUGCCGAAGUAUGCAACAUGUCCUUGUGAUACUUAACUAUUAAUUGAAAUUAGAAAUGCAGUGUUCAGUUGGAAAAUAUAAAAGAAAAAUCAGUUUAUCUUAUAGUUAUGAGAACAACAGUUUGUCAGAUAAAACAAAUAAAUGCUACAUUUGUUUCUUUUCAAUGCUAAAUUGUAUCGUUUCAAAAUAGCAAACGUGUUUCUUGGAUGCAGACAUUUCAAUGGGAAGUGGAAUUGGAUUACCUCUGGAAGAGAGUUGCUGCUGAAUGAUACCCUCUGGACCCCUGGUGAGCCAGCUGAUGGAAGGCAAUGCCUUCAAAUAUGGAAAGGGAGACAAUUUGAUGAUACUCGUUGCAACAAACUAACAAGUUUCCUGUGCGAAAAAG